CUGCAGCCCGAGUAGUGAUCGUUAUUAUUGGGCCUAAAACGUCCGUAGCCUGUUUGGUAAAUGCUUGGGUAAAUCGUGUGGCUUAACCAUACGAAUACCGGGUAGACUGCCAGACUUGAGACCGGGAGAGGUUGGAGGUACUCCUGGGGUAGAGGUGAAAUUCUGUAAUCCUGGGGGGACCACCAGUGGCGAAGGCGUCCAACCAGAACGGGUCUGACGGUGAGGGACGAAGCCCUGGGGCGCAAACCGGAUUAGAGACCCGAGUAGUC
rnacentral:rRNA from 1 species